rnacentral:misc_RNA from 1 species
AAGUCGUAACAAGGUUUCCGUAGGUGAACCUGCGGAAGGAUCAUUACAACAAGGCCACGGGCCCCCCGGCGCCCCGGCGCUGGAGGGUACCGGCCUGACUUACACACCCACCCUUUGCCUAUGUGUACCCCUAUCGCUUCCUCGGCAGGCCCGCCUGCCGCCAGGAACCACGUAAACCCUUUGCAUCAUACAUCAACUCUGAUACCAACCAAAAACUAUUACAACUUUUAACAAUGGAUCUCUUGGUUCUG